AAAUCACCAUCACAGUUUAUCAGGUUUAGAACAGGGGAUUGUGGAGGACAAACACUUCUGCUGUUUAGGACAAUUCCAUGCGUGUCCCAUAAUUGUUUUAUUUUAAUGUCUUUAAUAUUAAUCCACAAUGUAGAAAAUAUAUUAAAUAAAAAAAUUGAAAUUGUUGAGGAGUCUCCAAGCUUUUGACUGGUACUGUAUUUGUUUUCUCUGAUUAAAUGUAUCCCUGCACUUACAAUGCUGUUGUGCAAGUGUGUUAAUUUGCACGAUGGGUGUCAUUGAAAUGUCAGUGGCAUAUUUUUUUCAAAAAUUAAAAAAAAUUAAGUUGAGAGGAUAUUGCCCAUCCUGACUGUUGGUUUUUUAUUCUUGGCCUCUCUAGGUAUAGACAGAGCUGUAUAUGGGUCUGUACUGAACAACCUGAUGGAGCUAAGGAAUACACCAAACCCCCCAACCCAGAAAAAACACAAGUAUUGUAGCGAAGACCUUCAGCUAUUAACAUUUGACCAUGGUGAGUUUGUAACCUCCCCCUCUCAUUUUCAAAUAGCUAUUUAUAUUGAUAUUUACCAUCUUAAAAUAAGGACACCCCUUCUAAUACAUGCAUUCCACUACUUUAAAUUGCAGCUCUUGUUCACACAGAUGUGCAAAGACAUAUAGCUUGGAAUCUAAGAACACUUGAAACAGUACAUUUGUUGCAAUACUGUAGCCCAAUACUGAAGUCUCAAAAACCACGAUCAACAUAUUAUUAACACUUUAAAGGCUCCAGGUUAUACUCCUAAUAUUACAGGUCAUAAGUCUAGAUUUUUACCUUAGGAUCAGAAUAGCCUACUGACUUAAAUGUUACAAGUUGACCAAGGGUAGCAGUAGCAGACAUUUCACUCAGACAGACGUUCAAGAUGCAAUAUCCAUCACAGCAUUUAUUUAACUUUUGUUCACAAAUAUUUGCAGUGCAUAUAUAUAUAAAAAAAAAAAAACACAAAAUAGAAAAUUGUCUGCUAGAAAGCAAUUACAUAUUACCUUACCAAAGACUCCACCAGUAUGUCUUGCUUCAACAAACUCCUAAGGUAAAUGAGGCCCUAAUAGUUGUGUGCCUCCUCUUCAUAAAGCCUUAGCUCCUCCUCUAGGCCAAUCCAACUAAUGUAACUCCAAUUAACUAAAAUUUCAAACAUAUUAAUGAACUUAAAGCCUAUGAUCCCAACCAAUAUGAGCAUUAAAUCAUUGUAUAAACACUUAAACAUAGACAAAACAUGGCAGAAACACACAAGAAGACACUAUAACACCCCUGCCCCAGCUCCAAGAAUAGUAUAUCCCACUUCUAAAGAUGGGAAACUCCCUUAAACGUAGUACAAUUGCUUCAGUUUGAGGUGUUUUAAUGCUGAACCAAAGUUUUUAAUAGGCAAGUCAGUUCACUCAGUGGCCAUCUUUGCAAUGUUGCAAUGCCACUGGGCAGUUAAAUCCACUCAUAGAAGACUAUAUCUGUAUCUGUUUGAAAGGGGGAAGACAAAUACUAUGAGCUAGUGGUUUUCUGCUACUGCACUUAUCUCCACAUAACAUGCCCAGACCCAUUCAUAUCCAAGUAUAGCACGGCCCUGAUUUUGGUGGGAAAUGAAUUUGUAUAUGAUAUAUAAUUAGGAGAGUUUGUUAAAUGAGCUUCUUCAUUUUCUAUUUUAAUUCCAUGGUCUUUUACAAAUUGAAUCAUGAAUUAAACAUUAGAAAUUAUUUUUUAAAAACUAAAUGGAUUAAAUGUGCUCAGUAAUGACAGGAUGUUCCAUAUUCUGAUUGUUGGUUCACCUCUUGGCCUCUUUAGGUGUAGCGAGAGAGGGUAUUGAACAACCUGUUGGAGAUCAUAAACACCAAGCACCCCCUAGACUCUCCUGGAGAACACAGGUACUGUGCUUAAACAUAAUACACAUCAGUAAUAUACUGCUUGGUUUUUAUUUAUACAACAUCCACAUCCAUGAUGAACUACAUAAGACAUUCGAAUCCUGAAUCCUAUGUGGAACAUUAAGUUCUGAUUGACUGUGGCAACAGGUGCAUUGUGGGUUAUGUUUCUAUGAUAGAGCACAAUUGUUAAUACCCUGUCUCCUCCAUUCCUGCAACAGCCAAGACCAUCGGCCGUUAACAUUAUUUGACCUUGGUGAGUUUGUACCCUCCUCUUUCCCUUCUAAUAAAUAUUUUAAAUUGCACCCA
ensembl:lncRNA